ACCUGCCCUAGGGGAGGGGAUAACCCCGGGAAACUGGGGAUAAUACCCUAUAGGUUACAGAUGCUGGAAUGCCCUGUAACCAAAAGCUCCGGCGCCCUAGGAUGGAUCUGCGGCCGAUUAGGUUGUUGUUGGGGUAACGGCCCAACAAGCCCGUAAUCGGUACGGGUUGUGGGAGCAAGAGCCCGGAGUUGGAUUCUGAGACACGAAUCCAGGCCCUACGGGGCGCAGCAGGCGCGAUACCUUUACAAUGCGGGCAACCGUGAUAAGGGAACCUCGAGUGCCUGUAAACGCAGGCUGUUCAGGUGUUUAAAACGCACCUGGAGAAAGGGCCGGGCAAGACCGGUGCCAGCCGCCGCGGUAAUACCGGCGGCUCGAGUGGUGGCCGCUUUUAUUGGGCUUAAAGCGUUCGUAGCUGGGUUGUUAAGUCUCUUGGGAAAUCUGGCGGCUUAACCGUCAGGCGUCUAAGGGAUACUGCCAAUCUUGGAACCGGGAGAGGUGAGGGGUACUUCGGGGGUAGGGGUGAAAUCCUGUAAUCCUCGAGGGACCACCUGUGACGAAGGCGCCUCACCAGAACGGCUUCGACAGUGAGGGACGAAAGCUGGGGGAGCAAACCGGAUUAGAUACCCGGGUAGUCCCAGCCGUAAACGAUGCGCGUUAGGUGUAUCGGUGACCACGAGUUACCGAGGUGCCGAAGGGAAACCGUGAAACGCGCCGCCUGGGAAGUACGGUCGCAAGGCUGAAGCUUAAAGGAAUUGGCGGGGGAGCACA
rnacentral:rRNA from 1 species